UCAAUUUCUUUUCAGCUGCGGGGACUGGAAGCAAAUUUACAUGCACUGCUGGGAGGCACUUGCAUGUUUGAUUUCAAGUCUCAUCUGUGAAUUCCUGUCUCAUCAUCAGGAUCUCUCCAACAGGGAUGGAGGUAGAAGGAUGCCUGAAUUUAUCUGAAGCCACGUUGAGAUAUCCACAUAACUGAUUUAGAAAUAGUUCUCACUGGACUGACACACUGAAGUCGACCCCUGGUUCACACCAGCCACCUGCCGCUUCAUUCCUCCAGUCCAUCUGCCAUAAAGUCAGCACUGCAAUACAGUAAUAGAAAUCUUUAGAGAAACCAUCUGCUGCCUAAUAUUCUCCAUCAUCAGCCAAGGUUAUAAGCGUUGCCUUUACAUUGUGCGGCCUGGGACCUCGAAGACACAGGUUCAAAUAAUAUAACAUCAUCAUCAUCAUCAUGGCCCUCAGAACCACAACAUUCAAAUAGUUUUUCACCAAUAAGGUGAAAGAGUGUAAUACACUCCUUUUUCCUCCUCCCUUUCCCACCAUUCAACCAAAUCCAGUCCUGGAUCAAAGAUUCUGGAAAAUAUCACUCUCUUUAAGCUUUAACCAACUCGGAAUGGAAAUGCAGCCAGGACUCAAAAUAAAUUAUGCAGAGAUAUUGAAUAUAAUGGAAUAGGAAUGUGGAAUGACAAGUAAUAGAAAUGUGUAUGCUAUAGGGCUAGUUGAAAGUGUUUAAGGUAAUCAUUACUCAAUGGGGAAUUAAAGGAGUGAAAAUAAAUCUGUUGCUAAAUGGCAAAGAUUUCUUUAGUGUUUACCAUUUAGUACUUCUAAUUUUAUAAUAAUUACAAAUUUAGGCUAUAUUUGAUAUAAAUAUUUACUC